rnacentral:rRNA from 1 species
AGAGAGAGACAUGCGCGCAUAUCAAUAAGCGGAGGAAAAGAAACUAACAAGGAUUCCCCUAGUAACGGCGAGUGAAGCGGGAAGAGCUCAAAUUUGAAAUCUUCAAGGUUUUACCUUGACGAAUUGUAGUUUAAAGAAGUGUUUUCGGUUAGAGGAGUAGUAAAAGUUCUUUGGAAUAGGACAUCAUAGAGGGUGCGAAUCCCGUAUUUGACCAUUAUUUCCAGCUUUGUGAUACACUUUCAAAGAGUCGGAUUGUUUGGGAAUGCAGUCCAAAAUGGGUGGUAAAUUUCAUCUAAAGCUAAAUAUUGGCGAGAGACCGAUAGCGAACAAGUACCGUGAGGGAAAGAUGAAAAGAACUUUGAAAAGAGAGUUAAACAGUACGUGAAAUUGUCAAAAGGGAAGCGUUUGACACCAGUGUUGUUUUCUUGAAAAUCAAUUAAAAAAGGCCGGAUUUUGUGUUUAGAGUUAUGACUUCAUCAGCUUUCUGCACUUCUUUAUGUACUUUCUUAAUGCACUUUUCGUUUAACAAGUCAACAUCAAUUUCUUUUGUUGUAAAAGAGUCAUGAGGAAGGUGGCUUUCUUUUCGGAGAAAGUGUUUAUAGCCUUGUACUUCUGCAGUCGGAGAGAUUGAGGUCUGCAGCGUAGAUCCUUCGGGGUUAGAUACAUUUGUGCUAAGUUAUAGCCUUUCAUAGACAACUUGUUGACUAUGAUCAGUCAUGUAGCUUACUCGCUUAUGCUAUUUUACCUACGCUUAGGAUGUUGACAGCAGUAUAGACUGU